CUAUCAUUGUUUCAGGCUACUCUACUUGAAAUACUGAGAAAUAAAUUCAAAAAAGAGAGAAAGACACUUAUUUCAGUGGAGACUGUAGAAGACAUGAAAAAAAAGUUUGGUGCUGUGGGUCGAGGAAGGAAGCGUGCACCAGAGCAACAGCAACCGCACAUGGAAAAGAGAAGAGAAUCUAUGCAAAGUGAGGAGUUCCCAGGAGAAGACGAGCAUAGUACUGUACACACUCGGGCAAGAAUGAUGGAGAAGAAGUCCACUGAAGAAGUCCUUGGUCUGUUUCCAUUCCUAAAGCAUCCUAAACUGGUAGGUACUAGUUUUUAUUCUACUAUGGUGAUUGAUCAGAAAUUAAUAUUUUUAGUUAUAAGCAUGUAUAAUCACUUUAAUUAGUCCUCCUAGGUGACCUUUCUGCAUCAGCAAUCCACCUGCUCCAGCUUUUACAAAACUCCACUGCUCCUGGUUUUUCCCAUGCAACUUCUUUCUGCACGCAUUCAGUUUAGUUUGAUUUUGUUUUAUUUAUUGAUUUUUUUAACUACUACAUUAUUUGUAAGUAUUCAACUCUUUUUUGCAGCUGUGUAUAUCACCUUGGAUAAAGGCAUAUGAUAUAUAAAUAAAUAUAAUAAUAACUUUAGCAUCUGUAUUUUAGCUGUUGCACGAAGUAGAACUACGUUUUGGAGUAAACUUGGAACGGAACCUAAUGAGUGGCCUAUCCAGAAUGGUAGAUCCUAUUUUCAGACUUUCUAGUGGGCAUCUUCUAACUACUGUGAUGUCCUACAUUUGAAGGUGCUUCAGAUAAGACACAGGAAAAUGGUAAUGUAUAAGAAAUAUUUAUUGUACAUCAAAUUGUUUUGACCUAUCUCAGAAUAGGAUCUAUAAAUAACUAUUAAACAGAAAAUGAUGCAACUUCAUUUCAUACACUUAGAGCAUAAUAUUUCAUGGGGAAGAUAGCUGGUAUUUAACUCUCACAGGGGCAUAAAAACCAAUGCGAAAAACCUGCAUGAACAGAUUUUUAGAAACUUUGUUGAUACUGUUCUUAACAUUGUUUUGCUCCAAUCCACAAUAACGUUUGUAUCAGUGGUGGUCAGUCCUGGUCCUGGAGAGCUACAGUCUUGUGUGUGUUUUUUUUAGGUACCUGUGGGAGGGGGUGGGUGAUUCACUGACACAAGAAACAGCAGGUGUACUUGAAGCACCGCACAGGUGCCCAGUUUUAUUGUGCCGGGUGUACUUGUUAUUUUUAGCCCGCAGAGGGCGCUGUUCACCGUGGUCCGCGUACCAACUAUGGUAACACAGAACCACGGGAUAUACCAGUACGGUACGGUUCAAGUGCGGGCGCACUUACAAGUGCUCAAACAAUAAUUCCAAAACCAAAGAUGAAAGAAAACAGGAAAAUAAAACACAGUAACAAAACUACAAAAGAAAAGGUGCUGCACUUCGGCAGCGUUACCCCAGCCGUCGCUAGCCGCACGGCCCGGGUCUCCGUCCUACUCUGGCCGUCUCCUCAGCCUACCCUCACACUACACAAGGGGUCUGCCCACGGGUUCCCCACUACAGUUAGGUUUUUCCGUUCUUUAUCUUUUUUUUUCGUUGUUUUCCUCGUUUUUCUUUUUGGUCCCGGUUCUCUCUCGGUCCCGGCUCCCGUACUUCCCAGUACGUCUUUUGUUUGUUUCUUUAAAAGGGCAGACCUGAGGAAACAGCAGAGUAUUAUUUUUAUAGGGCACACAAUCCCAUUAGAGCCCGCCUACCAGCCACUCAGAGAGGGGGAAAGCGCACACACCCUCCUCCCCACCUCUCCGUGUCACCGCCAUGACUGACAGGCCGACCCCACGGGACUGCCGCCCCCUCCCUGCAGCAUCGUGCCUGCGUCAGACGGCCAGUCCAGAUCUCUCCCUGUUACAGUACCUUUAAAUCAUUUAAACUAUUCUUUAUCUGUGCAGUUUAGCAAAUAAUGAAUUAAUGAAUGUAACUGAGAGCACUGGUGGAAUGCAAAGCCAAAGAUCCUGUACCUCUCAGACCAGGGUUGCUCAACAUUCUUCCGUUUGCUUUGUACUUUGUAUAUGAUCUGAUACCCUAUUUGUUUUUUUAGGACUGAGAAUGAAUGCUGCAUUGUUGCUGUUGCCAGCUUUGUUUCGAGAGAGGGAAAAUCUGUUGUUUGUUGUUGACCAAGUACCACCAUCACCUACGCCAACUAUCGUUUUCAAGGGAACAACAAGCCCAUUGGCAGCAGAUGACAUCUCUGUUUGUGUUGAUGGAAUUGAGAUACUCAGUGAUUAUCCAGGAAUGGAUAUCACCCUUGCUGUUGAAUGUAUUUUUUCUCUUUAUUUUUCCUUGGGCAUUGAGUAUCCUAAAGCUCUAAAUAAUUUUCUGACUUUCAUGGAAAGGUACUUCAUGAAGCUGAGUACCUCUGACAAAGUACCUUUGCCAGUGUUAAAGAUGUACAGUCAAAUAACUGCACUUUUACUUGGGGAAUAAUUAUAUUGAUCUGAUGGAAUGCCAUUUUUACAUUUAAUCUGAAAUUAAAUGAAUUUAUUGUGUCAACUAUUUAAUUUGAUUACAAAAACAGAAUGUUUGAUAUAAAAAUGUAAUUGUACAUAUCAAAAAAGUAUUUAUUUUAAAUGUAAAUGGCUGAUUAGAAAAUUAAUUGUUUAUAACAAAUGUAAAUUGUUUUUAAUAGAAGUUUUGAUCUCAAAAAACUAAUAAACAUUCAGUCUUAAUUUAUAGAUAUCAUAAACUCAUAAUAAGCUCUGAUCUCAAUACUGUACUGUAGCUCUUCUAAUUUGUGCCACCAAAAAAUGAAUAAGAAAAAAGAAACCCACGUUCAUCAGUUUCAAUAUACAUUUUAUCUCCGCUUUUUCAAGGUCUAUUACAUGUUCUUGAAAAUGUAUUUUGUGUAAGUUUCAGGAAAAUCUGUGGGAUGCAUAGAUUUAUUUUCCAGUUUGCUGCGAGACCCUCUUUUUCACUGUGUAAAUAUGGUUUAAUUAUUAAAAACACACAGGUUGAAUAAAACUGUGUAAAACUGUAUAUAACUAAACCUGAAACUGAAACUACUCUAAUGGUUUAACCUGUAAAAACAAUAAAUUGUUAUAUAAAUGUUUAAUAAAUAAAUUGUUGGCAUCCUGAAUUGAGUGAUUU